AGGCCACUGGCUCAAUUGGUAGAGCAUCGGUUUCCAAAACCGAGGGUUGGCGGUUCGAGUCCGUCGUGGCCUG
rnacentral:tRNA from 1 species